GACGAACGCUGGCGGCGUGCUUAACACAUGCAAGUCGAACGGAAAGGCCCUGCUUUUGUGGGGUGCUCGAGUGGCGAACGGGUGAGUAACACGUGAGUAACCUGCCCUUGACUUUGGGAUAACUUCAGGAAACUGGGGCUAAUACCGGAUAGGAGCUCCUGCUGCAUGGUGGGGGUUGGAAAGUUUCGGCGGUUGGGGAUGGACUCGCGGCUUAUCAGCUUGUUGGUGGGGUAGUGGCUUACCAAGGCUUUGACGGGUAGCCGGCCUGAGAGGGUGACCGGCCACAUUGGGACUGAGAUACGGCCCAGACUCCUACGGGAGGCAGCAGUGGGGAAUAUUGUACAAUGGGCGGAAGCCUGAUGCAGCAACGCCGCGUGCGGGAUGACGGCCUUCGGAUUGUAAACCGCUUUCGCCUGUGACGAAGCGUGAGUGACGGUAAUGGGUAAAGAAGCACCGGCUAACUACGUGCCAGCAGCCGCGGUGAUACGUAGGGUGCGAGCGUUGUCCGGAUUUAUUGGGCGUAAAGGGCUCGUAGGUGGUUGAUCGCGUCGGAAGUGUAAUCUUGGGGCUUAACCCUGAGCGUGCUUUCGAUACGGGUUGACUUGAGGAAGGUAGGGGAGAAUGGAAUUCCUGGUGGAGCGGUGGAAUGCGCAGAUAUCAGGAGGAACACCAGUGGCGAAGGCGGUUCUCUGGGCCUUUCCUGAUGCUGAGGAGCGAAAGCGUGGGGAGCGAACAGGCUUAGAUACCCUGGUAGUCCACGCUGUAAACGGUGGGUACUAGGUGUGGGGUCCAUUCCACGGGUUCCGUGCCGUAGCUAACGCUUUAAGUACCCCGCCUGGGGAGUACGGCCGCAAGGCUAAAACUCAAAGGAAUUGACGGGGCCCCGCACAAGCGGCGGAGCAUGCGGAUUAAUUCGAUGCAACGCGUAGAACCUUACCUGGGUUUGACAUGGAUCGGGAGUGCUCAGAGAUGGGUGUGCCUCUUUUGGGGUCGGUUCACAGGUGGUGCAUGGCUGUCGUCAGCUCGUGUCGUGAGAUGUUGGGUUAAGUCCCGCAACGAGCGCAACCCUUGUUCACUGUUGCCAGCACGUUAUGGUGGGGACUCAGUGGAGACCGCCGGGGUCAACUCGGAGGAAGGUGGGGAUGACGUCAAGUCAUCAUGCCCCUUAUGUCCAGGGCUUCACGCAUGCUACAAUGGCUGGUACAGAGAGUGGCGAGCCUGUGAGGGUGAGCGAAUCUCGGAAAGCCGGUCUCAGUUCGGAUUGGGGUCUGCAACUCGACCUCAUGAAGUCGGAGUCGCUAGUAAUCGCAGAUCAGCAACGCUGCGGUGAAUACGUUCCCGGGGCU
rnacentral:rRNA from 1 species